rfam:Oryza brachyantha chromosome 9, whole genome shotgun sequence.
UUUUCGUUUUUACGUGUCCAACGUUUCACUAUUCGUUUUAUUUUAAUUUUUUACGAUUAAUAUUUUUAUUAUUUCUAUAUGAUAAAAUAUGAAUAUUACUUUAUACGUGACUAAUUUUUUAAAAUUUUUAUACAAAUUUUUCAAAUAAAACGAAUGGUCAAACAUUGGACACGGAAAACAAAAAAUGAGAUUAUU